GUUUUAAUAGUUUAUAAAAACGUUGGUCUUGUAAACCAAAAUUAAGAUUUAAUCUUUUAAAACU
rnacentral:tRNA from 1 species